ACUCCUACGGGAUAAGCUGGGGAAUUUUGCGCAAUGGGGGAAACCCUGACCAGCAACGCCGCGUGGGUGAUGAAGGCCUUCGGGUCGUAAAGCUCUGUCUGGAGGGAAGAAAUGAUUGGAGCUAAUACCUCUUGUCUUGACGGUACCUCUGAAGGAAGCACCGGCUAACUCCGUGCCAGCAGCCGCGGUAAU
rnacentral:rRNA from 1 species